rnacentral:tRNA from 1 species
GUCUUCGUGGCUCAGUUGGUUAGAGCGUUGGUCUCAUAACGAUGUUCCGUAUGAACUGUGGAACCAUCCAAAGGUCGUGAGUUCGAGUCUCACCGAGGACA